GACGUAGGUGGCGAACGUUAUCCGGAUUUAUUGGGCGUAAAGGGUGCGUAGGCGGCGCGGUAAGUCGGGUGUGAAAUCUCGGAGCUUAACUUCGAAACUGCAUUCGAUACUGCCGUGCUUGAGGACUGGAGAGGAGACUGGAAUUUACGGUGUAGCGGUGAAAUGCGUAGAUAUCGUAAGGAAGACCAGUGGCGAAGGCGGGUCUCUGGACAGUUCCUGACGCUGAGGCACGAAGGCCAGGGGAGCAAACGGG
rnacentral:rRNA from 1 species